rnacentral:rRNA from 1 species
GCUCCAAUAGCGUAUAUUAAAGUUGUUGCAGUUAAAAGGCUCGUAGUCGAAUGUAUGACCUGUGAACCUGGCCACCUCUAGUAGGGCGAGCGCCGGUGUGCACGGGGUCAUCCUUCUGGAGAGCACUUCUGCCUUCAUCGGGUUGGUUGUGUAAUUCAGAUCAUUUACUGUGAGAAAAUCAGAGUGUUCAAAGCAGGCUU